CAGUGUAAUUUGAUUUUAAAUUGUUAUUUAAUUUAAAUGUUUGUCUUAUUAUUCCAUAACAGUGCACUGUAAAUGGUGACAUAUUUAAUGAUGGACUUUGUCCUUUAUUAUAAAACUAACUUUGUGUCUUCUUCACUUCUGCUGUUUGCAGGCUGUUUGUGGACAUCAAAUUGAGCCGCUUCAGAAACGACAGCUGGCACAAAAGCUCCGUCCUGACUGCCUUUAAAGACACGGUUGCUGCAUCUCAUCCAGAGUUUGACGAUGACAAUCAGAAAGAUGCCCACGAGUUCCUCGUCUGUGUUCUGGAUGUGCUCCAGUGUGAGCUCAAGCUGCAGACAGAAGCAGCUGCCUUGGACAAACCUUCCAUCUGUCCAGUUAGAGCUCACAUUGGCUUCAAGAUGUUGAGCACAAAGAGCUGCAACAGAUGUGGUGUGCAGUUCUUUGGGCGGGAGGACUACCUCCACCUCUCCCUGGACCUGGUACAUCGAGGCUCAGUGAGACUCCAUUCUGUGAGCAGCCUUCCACAAAUAUGUAAUUCAUCUGUGAAAGAGUUCAACUCUAAUGCACCUGUUCCUCCUGCUCCCUGCUGCAGUUGCUCAUAGUUGGACUCAUAGUUGGACUAUGAGUGCCAGUGUGGAGCUAAGAAGCGAAGAGGAGCUGUCGUUCUUGAACCUCAGAUCGGUCCCCAAAGGCCUCAAACCACCACGGUUCAGUCGGUGUCGGGCUAACAGUUUCUUUCAUGUCAUGUCCUCCUAUUGUGUGAAGUUGCACUGGGUUGGGACUGGUUGUGUGUGUCACAUUUGCGGUGAGCCAAUGGCUGUAAUGGGGUUGGAUGAAUUGGAGGCAGGUGUAAUGACUGCACUGAUACACUGGUCUACUUAUAGCCCACACUACAAACACUGCUGUGUUAUUUUGUCUCUCUGUGCAGGUAUGUAAUGUGAUG